CUGGUUUCCAAGUUCUUUUUCCUAAGAAUUUCAUCCUGUUCCCCUGUUCUUUCCCUCAACACACUGUAACCUAGGAGAACUCUCUAGGGUUAUCACGGUACCUCACAGCCACCCUCAGGAGGUGACCCAAGUGCCAAUUGACCUUCGUUGAAAGUCCGGUGAACGGACUUGGAGUGAGUGGCCUCUACGCUCCACUUUUUUGUUUCUGGUUCCUAUUCCAUGCGCCGGUGCGUGACUGCACGUGUGGUGUUCUUCAGCAACAUCUGGCGGUCAGACCUCCUCCCCUGGCGUCGCCCCAACGUGGUGAUUCCAUCCUUAUAGGCUGUGUUUGGUUUUGAG
rnacentral:misc_RNA from 1 species